rnacentral:rRNA from 1 species
AUGGACCUCUCUCUGCUCUCACCAAUGCCAUGUACCGAGCUCGCUCUCCUCCUCGAGCCAAAUGCUCCCGCCCAACAACCAGUUUCCUGCCCCAGCGACCUGUCCUCCAUGUAUUGUGGUCUAACAUUUGCCUCGGUAAUCUUUAAUAUAAUUAGAUUUCACCGCAUGAUGUUCUUUACCCCAGCCGAGCAUAGUGUGCUGUCGCGCCGUCGAUUUCAACGAAGUGGCCAGCCCGAGCCGAUUCCCCAAUGUGUCAACGACUACGUCCACUGCGUGAUCCUGUGGGACAUGACCAAUCCACUGCCUCAUCAACACAUCGAGAUCUUUGAGCAAAGGAUUGCGAUUUUGGAGCUGCGGUGGGGCUAUUCUUUAUCAUUUGGUUCCAACAAUUCAUUAAAACUCCUAUUUAUCUGCAAGAUACACGCAAUAGGAAAAGAAACUAACAGAAUAUGGCAUAAUGAAAGGAAAAUAAUACUGCUGGAAAUAUUUGUGAGAUCAUGA